UUACAGUGUCAAAACAAUUUUUAAAUUUUAUUCAUAAUAUAUAGAUACAGUGCUGUAAAUGCUAGGUGUUACAGGCAUUUUUCAAACAUUAACUCCUUUAGUACUCCCCAUGGCCUUACAAAGUAGGUACGCUUAUCAUUACUGUCAACUGACAGAUGAAGAAACUGAGGUACCAACAAGGUAAGUAACUUGAUCAAUACAAAUAACCAGUAAGCGAUUGAGUUGGAGUUUGAACAUAAGAUGUCGGCUCAUAUUCUAUGCUCUUAACCAUGAUAUUUAAUCUCUAAAGACUUCACAUCAUGAAAAAAUUGGAUCAAUUUAUCCAUUUUCUUGAUAUAUCCCAUAGCCACACUAUUUUGUCUGAAUAAUACCUAUAGAGAAACUAUUGUACAUACACACCCAAAUUACUUCUGCCAGCAUCCCCACUUCCUAAAAGUUAAUACAGAGAACAUUUCAAAACAUUUCUUGUCCUGGCUGGGAGGACUCUGAGAAAAUCUCAUUGUUCAUCUAAUUAGCCAAGGGCUGGCUGGGAGUUGGGUCUCAGGGGAAAGGUGACCUCAGGAGAACCACUGAAUUACCAAAUUGCUGGGAGGAUCUCAGCAGUAACUGAAUUCAGGAUCUGGUGGUGUUUCAACCUGGGUGCCUGGUGUAACCAGGAUUUGCAUCUGCUUCAGACAAAGCAGACAGCCCUUCCUCAUGGACUCAACUUUAUCUAAAUGUGAUCAAGACAAAAGAAAUAAUGUCAUGCACCUCUGGAUGUGAGACUGUGCUGGGAGGUUCUGAAAGGCCUCACUGAGGUGAUUAUUUGCUGUAGCCAGAAUGACAAGUGUAAGCCACCCUUGCCUAUAUCUGGGAACAGUUAGCAUGUCAGGGAGAAGGUACCCCUGGUGCAGAGAUUCACAGGAAGAAGUGAGUUUGACCAGAGGAGGUCAGAAAGGUGGCAGGUGUGGCUGGAGGGAGCCUGAGAAGAGAGAGGAGGGUGAGAGGGCCAGAUCGUGGGACAUGGUGGACUGUGUUAGUUUCUGUUCCUCUAUGACAACAUUGCUCCAAAACCUUCCACCCAUAAGGAACAAACAGUUAACAUCCUGCACUUUCUGUGGGCCAGGCAUCAGGCAGAGCUUAGCUGGGUGCCUCAGCUUCAAAUUCUCUAUGAAGCAGGGGCUGCAGUCUCAACAGGGCUCAACUGGGGGAGGACUCCCACCCAAGAUCGCUGACAUGGGUGUUGUCAGGAUUCAUCUGGACUGAGAGUCUGAGUUCCUGCCUGUCUGUUGGCUGGGCACCCCCUCAGUUCUCUCCUAUGGAGCCUCUACACAGGGCAACUGAAAGCAUCGGUGCUUGCUCUCUCAGUUCCAGAGAUAAGACAGAGAGAGAGCUGCAAACAGGAGAGGAGGAGGGAACCCAAGAAUGCCUGUAAGAAGGAAGUGACAGGCUCUUCGUAAUUAAAACUUGGAAGUGACAUCCCAUCACCUUGGGGCAUUCUGUUGAUCAGAAGCCAGUUACUAACCACUUAGCUGUCACAUAAGGACGUGCACUCCAGGAGGCAGGGAGCACUGGGAGCCAUUGUGGAGGCUGCCCCACACACAGGCCGACAUGAGGCACUUGGGUCUGAUUCUAAGUAAAACAGGAGACCAUGGGAAACUUUUGCCAGUGGAUCACAAUAUAUGAAUUUCUUCUAAUUUCAACCCCUGAAAAGUGCAGACCUGAAAAUGAGGCCCAGGGGGGCAGUGACUGUCCCAAUCUUCCAUCUUCCAUCUCUAAGUUUCUGUAUCAGACACAUGUGACUCUAACCCACAGAAGUUAUAGGUAUUGUCACAUACACACCUGAUGAUGUGCCUAGGAAAUUGGUUUUAGCACCAUCUCCACUGUGCAGGUUGGGAGACUGGGGAGGCCAUGAGAGGCACAAAUGGCUUUUCCAGGACUCAGAAUUGGUAGGAAAAAAGAGGUCUGAACUCAGCUGUGUCUCCUCAAAGCUAGGGCCCUGGUCCCAUUCCCAGAGCGCUGUGGGGAGGGCAGUGAUGGAUAUUUGUGUACAAUUAUGGAGAUGACAUGGGCAAGGGCGAUGAGCAGUCAACAGCCCAGAGGAGGCUUUGGGUGGGUCUGAUUGAAGGAAGGGGCCCAGAUAAUGGAACCUUGAGAAGUGGCCUCACUUCUUUGGUGACAGACCCCAACAGAACUUAGAACUUUGGUUACCAGGCACCCACAUUCUAGACACAGCCUCACAUCCAGCUCACUUGAAUGGAGGCACUCAAGAGAACAAGAUGUUUGCAUGUUGUGUCCCAACUUUCCGAAGCUCUGGCUUCUAGAAAUCUGACGAGAGCCUUUGUAGACAUUGAUUCAACUCUCACCUCUAACACCUCUGGCCUUUUGGCAGGAGGAACCCUCAGGCAACACAGGGCAACCCAGGGCAGGCCGCUCCAGGUCAGGUCACAACUGUGCUCCCACCUGGCCAGCCCCACACCCCUUGAUGCUCAAGGUGUGUGUGUGUGUUUGGGAGGUGCACUUAGGAAAGGUGGGGAUGAGGAGGGACACAUCCCGGGUAGGAGCAGGUAGUGAGAUGUUGGAAGUCUGGCAAUGGGUCAUCUUCAUACCCCACAUCUUGGCUGGCAGGGUAGGAAGUUGAGUGCUGGGGACCGAGCUCCUUUAUCCCUAUGUGAAUCCCAAGCCCACCAGGUGUCAUCACAUUCCAGCCCUGGCUGGAGGUCUAUGCAGGUGCCCCUCUGAGCCUGAUCUGUGGUGCGGGUUCCCCCUGGUGAGGUCCAGGCAGGCCCCUGAUCCCUCCUGGUCUUUCUCCCAGGCACUGUGUUUGCAGAGCUGCACCCACAAGAUGGUCACAUAGUUAGUGAAUGGUUUCGACUAUGCCGUCUCCCUGGACAGGGGGCGGGUGCUCCAGGCCACCAACAAUGACCCGGGCCGGGCUUAGUGCAGAGGGGUCUUCACACCCAGGACCCUGAGAUGACCGAGGCAGUACCAGAAUCCAGACCCAAAUCUGAGACUCCCCUGAGAUGCUCCCAGUGUUUUCUCACUAGAGUGUCCCACAGUCCCACUCCCAAAGGAAUCACGACCUCCCCUCCUCCCCACCAGCUACAUAGGCAGAAAGAAAGUAACCUCCAUCCUCCUAGUGGUUCACGGUGAUGCCACUGAUUUUUUGUGUGUCCCUCCUCCUUCCACCCAGAGUGAAGAUGACCCCUUUGUGAAUUUAAAUGAGGCCUGCAGGUGGCGGUCCCUCCAGCAGACCUGAUGGAGACUGACAAAGUCCAUGGCACCAGCUUUCCUAGGUAGAAACAUCUCAAAUGUCACCACCUUUGUGUUCAACUACUCGGCCUUCAACACAUCCCACCAGGUCCUGGACCAGCUGUUUACUGGGUGACUGCCCACUGCCAGCUGUAAUUCUUGUAAUGUCACUGCAUCUCCCUGAGCCUCACUUUGCUCCUCUGAAAAGUGGGGUGGGAGAGGAUAAACGUCAUGGGGUUCUUGGAGGGACUAAUGGGAUCAGCCAUGGCGGGUGCUGACCUGGUGCCUGGCUCUGCAGAUGUGGCUGUGGGGUGAGCUGUGGUUGUUCAUGGUUAUUAUUGGUUCUUCCUCAUGGAAAGUAGUCUGUCUCACCCGUCUCUGGGAUGUGGUCUUUCUGAGUUUGGCAAAGCACACGGACAGCACCCUGUCAAGGAGUUUGAGAUUCCAGAGAGAUGGUCCUGGUCCUUGUGCUUGGUGGGGCCAAUUAGGGAUGUCUGGGGAGCAGAGGGGCCCCAGGCCCACUCCGACAUCUGGGAUGCUUCUGGCUGGACUUCAUUCAUUCAACCAUGUAUGUGAAGCACCUACUAUGUGCAGGAUUUUUGGAGACACUUAGCAUAACUCAGUGAAUCCAGGUGUCCAACAGAUACAAUCCCUGCGUCUCAGUUGUAGUCUGAGAGUCAAAUAGUCACAUUAGACAUCAUUCGCAAGUCCUGUCAUCCAUCGCACAUCCCAAAUGGUGCUCUCGUCACCUCCUUUACAUCUGGAGGCAUCUUCCAUUAUCAAAACCAGGAGGGCAGACCACAGGAUGCCGGAAUAAAAUGAGUGGCCUCUGGGUCCAGAAGGAGGGCGCCCUGUCUCUACAGAACAGGGUUGGGGGAAAUGGGGGACUGUGGCUGGGGCCAGGCUGGCAAAACCCUGCAUCUCACACAUGUUUUGAUUCUCACUGGAAGGCUGAGGUCUGAUGGCUUCCAUUCCAGGAGGUCAGGAUUCAAAGACCUGUAGAUGGGUCCCAGGACCCCUGGGAACCAGAGUGGAGGCUGGGCUGGGCUGUCCCCUAGAGACCCAUCCCCACCAUAGUCCUAUCUUGAUCUGCCUCCCCUUCUCCACAUCCACUUCUUCGGACCACCCCCAGCAGGCCCAGAACAGGAGGUGUGUGAGCAACAUGGUCACACGUCUGCCUCAGUCCUCAGUCCAGUUGCAUAAAUGCAUGGAGGGCUGGGGUGGGCUUUGUCCAAGCCCUUCAGGAAGAGAGUGUCAGUGGGAAGAACAGACUCACACUGACUCUGUGUUCAACUUGCUGGUUGAGCAGUCCUGCCACCACCAGGACAGCCACACAGGGGCGGGACUGGGCCGGGGCUCUCCUCUGGAUGGGAAUGGGCGGGCACAGGGGCCCAGACCAAAUAAGGGCGCCUUCAGUGGGCAGUGUGGAGGGAAAGACCAGGCCUCUGACUCUGUUGCCCAAUGCCUUCCCCCAUUGCCGUCUCUUCGCAGAUGAAGCUGGCCCGUGUGCACGUGAGCUCGCCUACCUCAGAGCAGGAGGGCCACGCCUCCCUCCUCCCAGUCCAGCUGGAGUCCUCCAGAGCCCGUGGAGGCAGAGCUGGAAGGUGAGGGCCCUGCAGUGUGGGAAGACGAUUUGCAGGGGGUUCACGGGCUGGGUUCCCUUAAGGCAUUGGGGUCCUUCCUGUCUUUGGAAAGACUCAGGGGAGGUCAUCUACUUGAUGAUACUUUUUCUUUAUGCUGCUCCAGGACCAUCUCCAGAGCUCCCACCAGCUCCAGAGCCAGAGCAAGGGCCAGCUCCAUGGCCUGGGCCAACUCCAAUUCUAGUUCUACCACCUGUGCUAGAGCUGGAGCAAGUGUCACCUCCAUCAGUCCCCCCAGGGCCAGAGCCAUGCCAACAACAGCUCCAGCCCCAGUGCCAGAUCCAGCUGGAGCCCGCUGGACCCUUGUCUCCAGGGAGAACACUUCCUCCAUCUGGAGAGAUUACAUCAGAGCCCAUCCAGCCCAAGAGCCCACCUGCCCCCGGGCUGUGACCACCAAGAGCCUGCUGUGGGAGGAGAAGCCUGACUUCCUGGAGUUCCGUCCCCAGCUGAUUGCAGAGCAAUUUACACUGAUGGAUGCGGAGCUGUUCAAGAAAGUGAUCCCCCCCACUGUCUGGACUCCGUCUGGUCCCCAUGGGACAGCAGGGGCAAUGAGCACCUGGCAUGCACCAUCCGUGCCACCAUCACCCAGUUUAUCACAGUGGUCAACUGUGUUGUCACCACCUGCCUGGGGGACCUGAGCAUGACAGCCCAGGACAGGGCCAGGGUGGUGGAGCUCUGGAUCCAGGUGUCCAAGGAGUGCCAAGGCCUGAGGAACUUUGCUUCACUGCAUGCCAUCCUCUCUGCUCUGCAGAGCUGCACGAUCCAUCGGCUCAAAAAGACAUGGGGACACGUUUCCAGCAACAGAACUCUCCGUCCGGCUGAAACCACGACUGUUGAAAACACAUCUGCUGAGGAGUUACAGGAAUGGAGGCCCAGGUGACACCGGGAGAGCCCCCUCCCCAGUCCCGUGGAGACCCCAGGGCUCAGAGGACCCAGGGAAAACGCUCAUCCAGGAUGUUUGGAUAUUCUGGGUUUUCGAAGACACAGGAUUUACCCUUAAACCACUGCACAGGUUUUCAUUCCUUUUCCCCCCUCGGGAAGAGCUCUCAAAAAUUUUACAAAAUUGUGCACCAAGGACCAGCGGGUGAGCAGGAAGCUGCUCAUGGAGGAAGCCAGGCCCCUGCUGCUCCUUCUGUCUUUGCUGCACGUCCAAGGACAGGGCACCCUGCCAGCCCCUGAGGAAGCGACCUCUCUGUGGGAGACCCUGGAGAUGGAUCCCUGGAUAGCCCAGGAGAGGCAGCAGUGGCAGGGUGUCGUCCCCUUCCUGGGCUCACUCCUCGAUUACCUGCAGCUGCUGGACACUGAGAUGGAGGAUUAUCUGAAGGAGUGUGAGCAUGGAGAGGGGAACAGGGAAGAGGAUCCAGAGGUUUGGGAGGCGAGAGCCCUGCACUGGGCCCUGAGCUCUCAGCACUUGGCAAAGCUCCUCUCCUGAGAACCUCCUGGCAGCCCCUGGAGCUGGGGCCUCAGGCACAUCUUAGCAAUGUGAGACCCAAGGCUCUGCAUAAGCCCCCCUCCAGGCUCCCUGGGCUGGGGGAGCUCAGAGCUGCCUCACUACAGAGCUGCGGGAGGUGGUGUCAGAGCUGGACUCAGCCUCUCCCUCAAGCCCUGCCCCUGGGGGAGUGAAGUCAGCCCCUGCAAGUCAGGAAGCACAUCCGUGGUCCAGCUGUCCCUUCCUUUCUGAGGGCUCAGUCUCCCUGUCUGUCAUCAGAGAGGUUGGAGCUACAGAGUCUGUGGCCUCAGUGACCCUGCCCCCCCUGCGCUGGAGCCCAGAGCCUGGCCCAGGUUCAGGCUCUCCUUGAGGCAGUGUCUGCCCUCUGCUGGGUCCUGGCAGUCCUGCAACUUGGGAAGGGGUGGGCUGGGGGCUAGUCAUGGGCCAAGGGGGCUGUUUCUGAUGGACAUUGGCUGUCUGCCUUCGAGGGAAAUAUGGUGAACUUCCAGAAAUGGAGUGAGGUGAGCAGCCGUGCCCUCGAUGUGGGGAGGGUGGGGCUGUGGAAAUCAGAGACCUCCCCUGCAAGACUUUCUCUGGCCUCAUCCCUUGGGUCUUAUCUUUAUUGCGAGAGUUAGAUACAGGCAGCUGGGGAUCCCAUCACAUUGGUGGGUGGGAGGAGGGGCUGACAUCGAGGACACCUUCCUGGAUGAGGAACUAUUUCAACCCUACUGUGAGAACAGGCAAGUCCUGAAUGGAGUGGGAGGGAAGGAGGGUUCCCAAUGAGCAAAGACCCCAGAGCAGCUCCUCACUACCCACAAGUUCCUGGCUGGGUUCCCCCCAGGCCCUGUCUGCAUCCUGUCCUUCCUCCCAGAAAUUCCAGGUCAUUAAAAGGAUCCAGCUGCUCCAGGAGGCUGCCAAUGAAUGCCACCUGCAGCCCGAGGAGCACUUUGGGGCCUGGUUCCAGGCCAUGGAGCCCCUCCAUGAGGAAGAGAGCUACAGCCUGUCCUGCCAGCUGGAGCCCCCAAACAUGAAGGUGAGCAAAAUGCGAGGCUUCUUCAGGACCAAGAAGAACCGGCCAUCCUCAAGAUUGGGGCUGACUGCCAUGCCCUUGGCAAGGAGCCAUCACACUCUAGAUGCCACCACAAGCUCAGCCUCUUCAGGCGCAGGGACAUGGCUGGGACCCUCGUGGUGCACCAGGCCAGCUCUUCCCACCCGGAUGUGAAGGAGGACAUUCCUGGGAGUUGUGGUGUGGUUCAACUCCUGUGCUCAUAUAAAUGAGACACAGAACUUCACCUUCCUCCUUGAAUUAAGAACUGGUGCACGGUCACAGCUCAUUGUAUGUGGGACAAGGGAGGAAGGCCAGCCCCCUCCCUGGCAAGUUAAGGACCACCCAAGUCUCCCUUCCUUAGAGGACAGGUUCGUUUCAGUGUGGUUCCCCUGGGCCAGGAGUGGAGACAGCCCCUCAGAUCCCCCUGGAUUUAGAGGCCGGAGGGACUUUCCCAGCAGAGCAACCAGCACAGAAAUGUGGGUCUUUCAGAUGGCACUUGCCAGGACCAUGUCCUGCCCCGGGACAGUGGCUGCCUUUCUACAGCUUUUGAAGAAGGAAUGUUUUCUGCUUCUCUUGUGGAGCUUUCUUUUGAUCAAGUUUUGGAACGUGUAGUUUUCUAAUGAAUCUCUGGAAUUGCACUAACAGUAAAUGGGGAAAAAAUGUAAACAGAUAACUCUUUGCAUGUGGAAAGGACAAGGCCAGAGGAAGACCAUUUGCAGACGGACUAAGGGCAGGCAGGACAUCCCUCUGCAGGCCGCCUCUAGGGGCUCCCUGUUCACCCUUUACCUGGAUUGGACUCCUCCCGGGAUCCUGGUCCAUGAACUUGCAGGUCCUUUUCCUGCUUGUUUCCUAUCCAGAGGGAAAGAUUUGUGAUGCAGCUUUUAAAGCUACAACAGGGCUUUGUUGCAUAAGCGUCACUGCUCCCUGUGAACUAGAUUUCCAGCAUCCCUGCACUUCCUUCUACAAUUCUUUUUGGGCAGAAAUUCCCUAAGGCCCCAGCCUCUCUGUCAGGAACAUCGUGGCCAUUCCUACCUAGCCAGGCCUGAUGGAUCAGCCGUGAGCUCUGGUUUGCCCAGGAUAACGGACCUUAAUCCUGGGCAGUGCAUGACCCACACUCUCCCUUGCUGCCCAGGGUCCCAUGUGGUUCUGAGGUUCAUGCUCUCGGACAAACAAUAGUUUACACGCUCAGUCUUAUUGUUACCAGCUUGACCUAAAGGGUCAUCUGGGCUCAAUCCUAUAGAGCUUCUAGCCCCCAGGAUGGCUGUGUUCUUUUCCCCAGUCUUGUGCUGUGGUUAUGUGGUUAUGUGUUAUGGGGAUGUGAAACUUUCCUGUUGGGAGUUUUGAAAGAUAAGGCAUGAGAGGUGCCAGUAUAGAGAUGGGUCUAGCAGGGGAAUGCCACCAAACUGAUGAACAUGGGCCUACACACAACAACCUUACCAAUUCAAAUACUGAAACGCUUCCCAUCUGGGUAGUGAAGAUAUGAGCUCACCCUGAGAACCCGCCUCAUGACCAGGAGCUACAGGGUUAUCACCUGGCAUUUUGAACGUCAUCCCCUGAAACACUGUAAGACAAGGGCCACAUGAAUUCCUUGGUAGUUCUUCCUCCUCCUCGCUGAAGGCUGCAAGUGUCACCCUGGGAGGCCCUUUCAGUUCAGCCACAAGCCGAGUAUAAAUCCCGCUUCCGGCAGCCCAGGCCCUUCCUGACAGGGCACAGCCAUCCAGGAAAGAAAUAAUUCACAUAUUGGUGUAGACACAUAAACACACACACGCAUAUCCCACCCAAAGCCCAAGAUGCAUGAACUUCAGAGAUGAAAAGUGACUUCAGAAACAGAUCAACCAAUUGCAAACGAAGGGUUUCAUUAAGAUCCUGACUCAAAUAAAAUGUAAAACCAAGAAACAACCUGGAGAAAACUGGGAGACUUUGGAGGCUGACUAGGUAGUUGAUUAUAGGAGUGACAUUUUUACUUUUGUGUGUGAUAACUUUGUUGUGUUUGAGUCCCAAAAAUCUCUCAUCUGUAAGAGAAACUGAUAUAUUUACACCUGAAAUGAUGUGCUCUCGGCAUCUACAGCUGGCUAAUUCCAGGGGGUGGGUGUAAAGAUAAAGCCAGAUGGUUUAUGAGUUGACAAUCUCUGAUGCAAGUGACAGGUUCACAGAGGUUGAUUUUCCCUACUCUGAGAUUUGGAGAUUUUUGAAAACUUUCAGAAGACAAGUUUCAUAAAAAUAGUAUAAUCACUGUUCACAUUACAAUGUUAAAAAUGAAAACAUUGCAAAUAUGAAGAAAUGCUUCUUCUUCCCGACCUGGGGAAGCUCUGUCUGUCUGGCUUCUGUGAAUGACCUGAUGAUGCCACUGAUUAUUCAUUUAUCUCAUGUUUAUUGAAUAAGUACUAUGUGCUCUGUACUGCGAGCAAGGUGAAUGCAUUUCCACAUCUCCAGAUCUAGUGUGGGAAUGAAGGCACUGAGCCGGCUGCCAAGAUUCUCUACGUGGAAAAUAAUGCCCCACGGGGCAUGGUCAUUGUUAAGAUUCCAAAAUCAAAGCUAGACAAGUUUGCCAUGGAACAAAUCAGAGGUACUUAAUUUAUGAUAUAGAAAUUACCUAUGUCUGAAUUAACAUGUGACAAAGGCUGAAGGAUUUUGUUAAAAUUAGAUGCAAAAUCAUAAUUUAUGAAAUCAGAUUUCAUAUCACAUUAAGAGAUAAAUCUCAUUGAGUAGGUAUUAUCUGUUCAUUGAGUGUAGAAAAAACAAAUGUAAGUUCAAAACACUAAUUCCUCAGCCUCAAUUAUCCUAUUGAUUUUAAUAUAAACAGGAAGAAAAAUCAUGGUAAAUAAAAAUCGAGGUUACCCAUGAAAGGUAAGGAUCAUGAUGGAUGUUACAAAGAGAUGCUGUGGGGGUCAAGGCUGUCUCCUGGUGGAUUUCUCACUGCACCACUCUCCUUUCCUUCAGCACCAAUAUCGCUUUCCUCACGGUGUUUUCAGGUGCCUUUCUUGGCUCUUGCUCUCUCUGCCUCCCUGGCAAACUCCUCUGUUCUCAAGCCAACAGUCAGUCUUUCCCAUGCUUUUCUUCACUUGCAACAUCUGUCUCCUAAUAUCUCCAGAAGUUGCCUGUUGCCUGUUGCCUGCAGAGGGGCUGGGAGAGACCCAGACCCGUUCCUGGACUCAUCUCUGCCCAAUACGGACACUGGUCAGGAGUGGGCUAGGGUUGGUGUGCAGAUCCCUCAGCUCAAGCCAUGGCCCAGGGAUUCACCUAGACCACCUGGUGCAAUUAUCUUUAAGAUAUUUGUGAAUCAGAAGGACUUAAAAGUUCUCCUUCGCUGCUGCCAGCCUUGAGGCCCUGCAGUCUCUCCUCUCCACAGACUCACCGGGGCUUCUCCAAGGUCUCCUCCCACUGACGGCCCCUGACCUCACGGCCAGGAUGGGAAGUUAUCCGACUACCUGGCCUCUGGAAUAUGCAGCUGCUCAGCCUUCAGUGUGUACAGAGCUGCAGGUUUCUGCUUGGUUUUAGUUUUGUUGUCUCAUUGUUUCCACCAUGAAAUUGGGGCAUAUUUUUUGAACUUUCUCUUUAAAAAUAAAAUGUGAAAUUUGAACAAAAUGGGGGAUGAAGACUACCAUCCAUGGAGAAUGUUCUCAGCUCAUUUGGCUAUUCCACCCUCCUUCCCUCCCUGGAGAAUGUGUCUCAAAUGUGAAUCACAACCAUCUGGAGGGUUUUUAAAACUCAGAUUGCUGGACCUCAACUCAAGUCAAUCUGGGGUGGGAAUGGAGAAUGUUCAUUUCUAAGAUGUUCCCAGGUGACAUUGAUGCUGCUAGUAUAGGUACCACAUGUUGAGAAUGGGAUUCUGGGACAUCAUCAAGCCCAUGUGAGACAAGGACAGAAAGUUCAAGGUCAUUAUCCAAUGUCAAAUCCAGACAAACCUCCCUCCUCCAUCUUGCUUCAGGAUGUUACUCUCUCCCCUUCUCCGUCAUUGUCAACUACACACAUUCUGGUACCAAGUAACCCACUAUCAUUAGGACUCAGUGAUCCAAGGGCCCCGUAGCUCCUUUUAGAGUGCCAUCUCUAAUGAAAUCACGCACUAUUCCACCCUUAGACACCCUCACUCCACAGCAAAAUCCUGUCUUAACCCCAAAUUCUCCUGCUCACAAAUCAGGAACUCAAACAGCACAUUCCUACCACAAAUUUCCACAGUUCCUGUUUUUACACAAAGAACCCUAAUGUAAAUAACCAACCUUCAAGAAAACAGUUUACUCCAGUAUGAAUAUCUUCACAAGGCUCUCUUCUUUCUCUCUUCCUAUUCCUUUCUUUCAAUCUUGGUUUCUGUGGUCCAUCAUUUCAAUCAUCCACUGACCAUGCUCCCAGAUUCAUCACUCCCAUCACAUUGGCCCUGUAAGCCUCUGACUUUGGAUAAUUUCAAAUACCUGCCAUGCCACGUUGACACCUGCACUGAGGAUCACCAGCGAAGAGAGAGCACACGAGGAGUCUGUGG
ensembl:lncRNA